rnacentral:lncRNA from 1 species
AUUGGGGAAGAGGUUAUAGACCUGGCAGAUAUUAGAGGCGUCGAGGGUAGGGAUGUUCCUUUAUUAUUAUUUUUUGAAAAAUACCCUGACCUUAUGCUCGUUCUAAAAUGUUUGUAAAUUUUUGCAGGUAUGUCUUUUGAUCCUCGGGCUCUUUGAAACUUUGUCAGCACAAGGGCAGACGCUCGAAAAGCAAGAAGAGGCCUCGAGGGACUCCUGAGGGUGCGAGGGGGCCUGGCGAAACUUCUCGAGCACAUCCACAAGUCUCGACCCCUCUGCAACCGAACCUUAGAUCUCCCACUCCUCGGGUCGUCGCUCCUCGGCCUCCUUCUGAAGUGGUUGACCUUGAGGAUGACCCGUCUCUCACCGGGGACUUUGAGACUUGCCACCUCGCUCCUGAGCUCAUAAAUAAAUACAAGGAGGAGGUCAAGCUCGAGGAUGGGAUGAAGGUCCUCGAGGGUCUUACGGUGAAGGUAAUCUUCGGGCUUUCGACUUUAAUCUCAAGUUUUUUUUUUGUCGAGAUUAAUACUUGUCAUUUUCUUCAUUUUUUCCAGAUGUUGAGUAUAGCUUGAGAACUUUCUCUGCAAGGGCUCGAGGAGGCCAAGAGGGCAGCUGGGGUCGAGACGUCCAUGGCCUCUAAGGACAGCAGGAUUCAAGACCUCGAGGCACAGGUCGAGGUUUUAUUGAAGGAGCGUGAUGAAGUGAGAAGGGAGGCUGCAAAGGCCAGGGAUGACCUGGUUGUAGCAAAGGAUGAGGUCGAGGGCUCGAGCUCAUCCAGAAGACAGAGGAUUUUGGGCGCGAGCUCACGGCUGUCAGGGAGAGGGCCUGGGAGGAGUUUAAAACGUCCGAGGACUGCGACAAGAUAAAAGGGGAGUACGCGUCGGGGGCGUACUUCCAUGCUCUGAAAGAAGCCCGGGCCUUCCUCCGUCAGAAGUUGCCCGACGUCACUCCGGACGACCUGAAGACAGUGCCUUCCAUUGCUGAUACAUUGGAGCUCUCGGGUUCGGAAGAUGGAGGAGGAUCGGGUGGAGAUGAUGAGGAUGGUCUUGAGGACGACGUUGAGAUCGACAUCAGCAACCUCGACCCUCCUCUUGGCCACAUUGGAUGACUUCCCCAUCCCGAUCUUUUGUAAUUUUUGUUUAAAGUUUGAACAUGUAUUUUGAUCGAGG